rnacentral:rRNA from 1 species
CAGUCGCCACGGUAAUACAGAGGGUGCGAGCGUUAAUCGGAUUUACUGGGCGUAAAGCGUGCGUAGGCGGCUUUUUAAGUCGGAUGUGAAAUCCCUGAGCUUAACUUAGGAAUUGCAUUCGAUACUGGGAAGCUAGAGUAUGGGAUAGGAUGGUAGAAUUCCAGGUGUAGCGGUGAAAUGCGUAGAGAUCUGGAGGAAUACCGAUGGCGAAGGCAGCCAUCUGGCCUAAUACUGACGCUGAGGUACGAAAGCAUGGGGAGCAAACAGGAUUAGAUACCCGAGUAGUCCCUGUCUCUUAUAU